GGCACUUUGGCGGAGUGGUUAACGCGAUGCCCUGCUAUCAGCUAAGGAAUUAGCAUAGUGUAGGCAUUCCCUUCGGGGGCGUGUGUUCGAAUCACACAGGUGUCG
rnacentral:tRNA from 1 species